rnacentral:rRNA from 1 species
ACGGGUGAGUAAUGCCUAGGAAUCUGCCUGGUAGUGGGGGAUAACGUUCGGAAACGGACGCUAAUACCGCAUACGUCCUACGGGAGAAAGCAGGGGACCUUCGGGCCUUGCGCUAUCAGAUGAGCCUAGGUCGGAUUAGCUAGUUGGUGAGGUAAUGGCUCACCAAGGCGACGAUCCGUAACUGGUCUGAGAGGAUGAUCAGUCACACUGGAACUGAGACACGGUCCAGACUCCUACGGGAGGCAGCAGUGGGGAAUAUUGGACAAUGGGCGAAAGCCUGAUCCAGCCAUGCCGCGUGUGUGAAGAAGGUCUUCGGAUUGUAAAGCACUUUAAGUUGGGAGGAAGGGCAGUUACCUAAUACGUGAUUGUUUUGACGUUACCGACAGAAUAAGCACCGGCUAACUCUGUGCCAGCAGCCGCGGUAAUACAGAGGGUGCAAGCGUUAAUCGGAAUUACUGGGCGUAAAGCGCGCGUAGGUGGUUUGUUAAGUUGGAUGUGAAAUCCCCGGGCUCAACCUGGGAACUGCAUUCAAAACUGACUGACUAGAGUAUGGUAGAGGGUGGUGGAAAUUUCCUGUGUAGCGGUG